CUGACCUGGAGCCUGCAUUCUCAGGGGUGGGGCCCAGCCCAGGAUCACCACCACAUAAUCAUGCUUUGUGCGUCCCAAACAGAGCCGAUCACUGGGCCUGUCCACUCCCCACCCCCCAGUCUCUGCAGUGGUGGACACCACUGUCCACCCUGUGCCCAAGCCAGCCAGACCCCUGGGGUCACCUGCCUCCCCCUCCUUCCCCUGACAAUCACUGUGUCCCUAGGCCAUCCCUUCAUCUCUGAAAUAGACCCUCCCUGCCCACUGCCCUUGACUGGGUUCGGGCCUCCUUCUCUCUUGCCUGCAUCUCCAGACUUGCACGCCCUGUGGUCUCCUGGCUUCCCAGCCAUCUCCCCGCUCCGGUCCAGCCUCCUCAUGGUAGGCAGAGACACAGUUCUGAUCACACCCCUCCUCUUCUCAAAACCUGUCCAUGGCUCCCCAGGACCCCAGCUCCUCUGCCUGCUGUUCAAGCCCUUCUUCCCAUUCUUCUGGCUCCCGCGCUCCAGCCUCUUCGCAGGAGACAGAUGCCCCUGCUCCCACCGCCAGGCUUUGGUCUCCACCUCCCUCUGCCAGAGGCUCUUUUCUUCACCCUCUGUUCUGCCUGGCAAACACCCACCUACUCUUCAAGGAUCGUGUCCCACGCCCCAGAGUUCCCCACGAGGUGCCCUGACCCCUCCCUCACUCAAUGCCCCCUCCUCACUGUCCCCUGUGCAGACCUUGAUCUGAGCCCCUGUGACAUGGAGCAUUCAGCCCCCUGCCCAGCCCGAAGCCCCUCAGCCCAGGGACCAGAUCUUGCUGGGCUCAGGGAAAAGCAUGGAAGGGAGGCAGCGGGGGAGCAGAAAAGGAGCAAUAUAUGUCAGGGGUCUGCUCAAUGCCUCCUCCCCUAGGAAGGCCCGCAGACCCCUGUCACGGCCACCCAGGCCCCUCGCCUGCAUCUCCACUGGUGCAGCGAUGGUUACUGGGCUCACAUGGGGUCUGGAAUGUCAGCAGAGCCCAAGGCCAUGAAGGUCAUUUCAGCCACACCUCGUUUCACAGACGGGGAAACGGAGGCCCUGGGAUGAGCAGGUGCUGCGGCCAUCACUCCACCAGAGGGGAGCAGAGCCAGGGUUUAAACCCUGUCCGACCACCUGGCCCCAAACCCCGAGUUCUUUCCCUGCUCCCACUGCCUGGUGUUCGCACCUCUGGACCCCAGGAGCGCCUCGCAAAGGGGCCUCCGUAAGACUGGGAGCCCCGAGCCACAGGCCCCAGGGCAAUGGAGCAGGGAAGGGGAGGGGUGCAGAGGCAGGCGGCUGGGGGGGGGGGGCGGUGGACACUGAGCCUUGUGGGGCACCCACUCUGCGCUGACCCGUUCCCUCCCUUGUCUCGCCACAGCUCCAUCUAGCUCAGCCAGGAGAGACUGCCCGUGGUGGAACCCCCAUCACAGCCCUCGCUGCGCUCUCAGGGAGCCAGGCCUCCCCGAGCUUGAACCCUGCUCUGGAACUCGCAUGCCGGCGGUCACCUCCCGGUGGCUCAGCUUCCUCCUCUGUAAGGUGGAAAUAUUCACAGUGCUACACCAUGGGGCUGUGUGCGAAUUAAGUGAGUUCACCUGUGUAAGUCACUCGGCGCAAUGUGGCUCACCCACAGCAGUGCCGGCGUGGAGCAAGUGCUCAGAAACAAGCUUGCUAUUGCUGUUGUUAUUAUUACCUACUUGUCCAUCUCGCCCACUAGGCAGUGAACUCUGCAGGGCUGUGUUUUCCGGGACAUCGAGGCUGGUGGGUGGUGGGUGAAGGGCUCGCCCCGGCCCUAAGGCUGCUCUCCUGCCUCGCCCACUUGUAGGGCUGCAAGGAGGGAAGGGGGAUGGGGAGAGGGACCAUCCCCCACCUCUGCUUUGUGUCUUUGGGCUGGAGCAUCAGGCUCGUUUACAUUCCCAAAUACCCCAGACUACCAGGGCUGAUAAGGACGGCUCUGGUCUGGGAGCCUCGGCAGUGACUUUAUCUCCCUAGAUAGGGCCGGCCGGGCUGGCUCUGGCUGGGGCAGGGAGGGUGCCCCUUGGUUUCUGAGAAGCCUCAGAGCCGACACUCAGGUGUAGCUGAGCCCACCUGGCUCUAGUGCCCGGCCCCCCCCAACACACACACACACACACACUUGCCCGGCCCAGCUCCUCUUCCUCCCAUACCUCAGUCAAUCUGAGAGCAGCCUGAGGGCAGCGCCUCCUUGGGACCCAUCCCACCUGCACAGAACUGUGCUUCUCACAUUUGAUGACCACAGAACUCUUCGCUUUCCAGGCUCCCUGAAACCCUCUCCUCGUCUCUCCUGUGACCACAUCUUUGACUUCUUCCUUUCUCUCCAGCCUCUGACCCCUGCGUCCACCCAAGGAGCACUCACUCUGUACCAGGCACUUUAUUUGGUUAACCCUCCAGACUCCUGAGAGCUACCAUCACAAUUCCCACUCGACACAGAGGAAACUGAGCAUCAUAGAGGGUUGGUGAUCUGCCCGAGGGCACGCAGGGAAAGUGCUGGAGCGGGGCUCUGAGCCAGGCUGGCUGUCUCGGCUGGGAGGGCUCAGCAGUGGGCAGAGGACUGACCCAGGUUCUGGCUGUGGGAGUGGGAGUGGGACAUGGGGAGGGGCUUACCUGUACCUGGCUGGGGUGGCUUGGAGGGCUGCAGGGCAGGAGGGCGGUUCCUGUUACCCAGUGCUGAGUACCAGAAACUUAGCGCUUGAAACAGGGACGUUUACUUUGUUCUCAAACCUGCAUUUGGGGAGGCUCAGAGGGCAUCAUUCGCCUCUGCUCUGCUUGACGUGACCUGGCUUGGUUGUAGUCAGGACCUGGAAUCGUUUGAAGAGUCGUUCAUGCAUGUGUCCAGUGGCUGAAGCUGGUCACUGGCCAAGACCUUAACUGAGGCUGUUGGCAAGAGCACCCAUAGUGUCCUUCUCAUAUGGCCUGGGCUUCCUCACAAUAUGGUGGCUGGAUUCCAGAGACAGAGACAGGCAGGCAGACAGACAAACAGACAGGUGGAAGCUGUAUUCCCUUCGUAGAUUUAGCCUGGGAAGUUGUGGGAUGACGAUUCUGCUGCAUUCUGCUCAUUGAGCCAGUCACAAAGUUUUGCCCAGUUUCAAGGAGUGGGGCAAUAGACUCCAUCUCUCGAUGGAGAAUGACAAGUUUCCAGUGUGUGGACCUGGAAAUGCUCCUGAGGCCAUUUUUGGAAAGUACGCCUCCCACAGGGACCUCCUCUCCUGACCUCCCAUAGCAGUCCCACUUCCCUGACCUGGCAGGACACUUCCAGAGGCUCAGCCCACACAGCCUCUCUCAGCCCUGCCUUGGAAGCGUGGUCCUGAGUAGUUGGGGGUGGAGACAGUGAGCUCUCACUGCAUGCCAGGCCCUCCCCGGGUGCUUCCAUGCCUUAUUGCAUUCGAUCCCCACCAGGAUCCACAUAGUGGCAAUGUGGCCCCUGAUUGUAGGUGAGGAGACUGAGGCUGAAGACUCACCGAGGCCACACGGAGGCCCCAGUGAGGCUGGGAUCUGAGGCCAGGUCUGUGGCUCCAAAGCUCCUGCUCUCGCCCCUGCACCAGCUGCCCCCAGGCUCAGGAUAGGGAAGGACUGAGGGGGUGAGGGAUUAAGAACACAGGCCUUGGACCAGAACAACUUGGGUUCUCACUGAAGCUCCUUGACCCUGGGCAGGUCACUUCAUCUCUCUGAGCCUCAAUUUCCAUGUCUGUCCAAUGGGCCAUCACAGACUCUAAAAAACACACCAAACCAAUGAAAUAAAAUAAUCUGUGUUACCAGCUCGGCACAGGCUCUGGCACAUCACACGCGGUACCCAGGCCGCCCCGCCCUCCCUAGACAGGACCCGCUCGUCUGUGGGGCAGAGCAGGUCCGUGGCUGCCCGAGGACUGGGCCUUCUGCCAUUUACCAAGGGGGGAGUCCCCGGGCUCCUGUUGGCUAUUUUUAGGUCUGUGUGGGCAACCACAGAACCACAUGUGGGGUUUACCACGGCCUGGCCAAGCUCGGAGGAACAAGAAAACACUUCUCGUGACAGACGGUGGACAUCUGAGGUCAGGAUGGGCCUCAGUCUUUUCCAGCAUCUCUAGGUUGACUUCGGACAAAGUCAGAGAGCCUCUCCAGGUCUCAGUUUCCCCAUCUGUAAAGUGAUAAUCUUAGCACAACGGCUUACUGUGUGCCAGGUGUGGACGGAACACGGUGUCAACUUGCGUGGUCUCACAUGAUCCCCGCUGUGAGAGAGGCUGGGGGCGCAGACGUUGCUCAGCUAGAAGAGGGAGCAGGAGUGGAACCAGGGCCAGUCCAUGUCCCCGCCCUGCUUCCAGCUCCCCACACAGCCUGGAAGCAGUUCAUGAGGAUUAGCUGAGAUUACGCUUGGAGGUGUGUUGUUAAACUGCAAACUGGAAUGUAAACUGAGCAGGCCCAGGGAUAGCCGGGCUGGGAGCUUAGCCCUAUCUUCCAUGGAGAUGCUUCCCAGGCCCUCCCUACCCGAGCCUUCCCACUUGUUCAUCUGCUUUCCACAGCAGGCAUCCUUGUGAGAUUUUCUUUUGGCUCUACUCCCCCCACCAAAAAAGGCUUUAAAAGCCACUGAGGGGCAGACUGAAGACCAGAGGUGGCAGCAAUACUCCCCAGGGCAUGCAGGGGGUGCUGAGGCCCUGGGUGUCCCAGCCCCUUCACCAGGCUGGCCUGCAGCCGUGGCCCUUGGGGCCUCCGCCCAGUUCUCGGAGGAGCCCAGGCCUCGGGCCCACCUCCCUUCCUCACUCACGUGGGGCCUCUGACGUUCUCACUCUUCAAGUCCAGGAAACCAUGUUCCUGGAAGAGCCACCAGCCACGGUUAGGACUUAGAAGCUCUGUAGUUCCCCAGGAGGAAAGGAAAGAAAAGGACAACAAGGGGAAAUGCCAUUGACAUCACACAACUGGAUUUUCAGCGAAGCCACACGAGAACUCGUGAUCCUCCUGCAGGCCAGAGGGAUGUACACAGGAGCUGGGUGCAGAUCCGUC
ensembl:lncRNA